GCGGGGUUAGCUUAGUUGGUUAAAGCAGCCGGCUCAUAACCGGCGGACCGGGGGUUCAAAUCCCUCACCCCGUACCA
rnacentral:tRNA from 1 species